GACGUAGGGUGCAAGCGUUAAUCGGAAUUACUGGGCGUAAAGCGUGCGCAGGCGGUGCUGUAAGACAGGCGUGAAAUCCCCGGGCUUAACCUGGGAAUGGCGCUUGUGACUGCAGUGCUGGAGUGCGGCAGAGGGGGAUGGAAUUCCGCGUGUAGCAGUGAAAUGCGUAGAUAUGCGGAGGAACACCGAUGGCGAAGGCAAUCCCCUGGGCCUGCACUGACGCUCAUGCACGAAAGCGUGGGGAGCAAACAGG
rnacentral:rRNA from 1 species